ensembl:lncRNA
AUGCAGAAUGCAAAGAAAUGAAUAUAAAUAUUCUAUCCUAGCCCUCACCUGAACAGCAACCUGGGGCCUCACAACUCAAAGAAAGACCUCUUCAGCCCCCUGGGAAGCCAGGAUUUUGGUCUGCUUAGGAAAUUCAUUCCUCACAUACGUAUAUAUCAUCCAGAUUUUUUGUAGAUGGUUUCAGUUUUGAAUGUGAACAAAUAACCAAAAAAUCCACCAACAGUGUUUUAUUUGAGUUUUUUUCCUCAAAAGCAACAUUAUACAUGUUAAAUUAUCUUGAAAACUCUGAAAUAUCAGAAUUUCAAAGCCAGAUUAUAUUGCAGAUCUUUGGUGUUUUUUCACCACAGAGUUCUAGAAAUUAACAAUUUUUUUAAUAUGGAAGACCAACCAUUUAGAAAUCAUUUACAAUAGAUUAAAUACAAUUAGAAAAACUGAAAAUUCUGAGAGAAAAGCUAACAAAUGCAGAAACUUUGUUUUAGGGUUUUUGUUCGUUUUAAAAUGAACAUUUAGGAAGUAUUCAGAAGCAAGGAGAGUCGUUCAUUGAUUUUUUUUGUUCAUUUGGUUUUUAAAUUGGACUUUCUAACUGACAACAUAUAACAAUGUCAGUAUUAUUUUAAAAAUACUAUUUUAUUUCCCAGAAUCACAUCAAAGAAUCAUAGAAUGGUUUGGGUUGAAAGGGACCUUUAAGAUCACCUAGUUCCAACCCCGUGAUAUAGACAGGGAUAUCUCCCUCUAGACCAGGUUGCUCAAAGCCCCAUCCAGCCUGGCUUUGAAUGCUUCCAGGGAGGGGGCAUCCACAGCACAAGUGGGCAACCUGUUCCACUGUAUCUCCAACCUCACAGUGAAGAACUUCCUAAAAUCUAGUAUAAAUCUACCCUCUUCCACUUUAAAGACAUUUCUGAUGAUGAAAAAUUUUCUGAUAACUGAUCGUGUUUAGGGCUUUUAAUAAUUUUGAUCAUUUAAAAUCUUUGUAUGUCUCAUUUUUUAGUUAUGAUUUAGAACAUUCCAUUACUGUUUUCAUCAGCAUUCCAAAAAUGCUGUUGAAGAAAAAAUGCAAACAAAUAUGUGAAUAGGUUAGAAUGUUCUUAAUUUUCUUUCUAUGCUGUUGUUUGUUUAUCUUAAAGGUAAAAUUUAAAGGACUCAAUCAAACAGAACAAAAGCUUCACUUUUAACCAAUAUUUUCCAAGCUUGCAGUGUCAGAAGUAUGAGAUAAAGUCUUCUCAGCAAAAAUGCAUUAAAUAUUUUAAUUAAACACUUCAUUCUGUUUUACUGCAUGUGCAUUUUUUUUUUCAGCUACAGUCACAUAAUCACAUAAUCAAAGAACUGUAGGUGUUGGAAGGGACCAAUGGAGAUCAUUCAGCCAUCUCCAAACUGAAAGAAAUCAACAGCAAAUCAAGGCAGUAAUUCUUAGUAUGAGACUAAGAGUAAAGAAAUACUUUCCCAAUAUCUUGGACCAAGAGAAACCAUGCAAAAAUUCAU